UAAUUAGUUUGAGGCAGAUCAUUAUUUAAUUGUAGCAAACUCACACCUGAUUACUCAAAAUCACCUAUUAUUGCAAGUCCGACUACAUCAUUGACAUUGAAAAACAAGUGUAUACUUUGAGAUUUUAAUUAGAG
rnacentral:pre_miRNA from 13 species